ACUCAAAUGAAUUGACGGGGGCCCGCACAAGCGGCGGAGCGCGUUGCUUAAUUCGAUGCAAAGCGAAGAACCUUACCCAGGCUUGACAUGCGAGAAGUAGGCGGCUGAAAGGUCGUCCGACCCGUAAAGUCGGGUACUCGUGCAGGUGUUGCAUGGCUGUCGUCAGCUCGUGCCGUGAGGUGUUGGCUUAAGUGCCGCAACGAGCGCAACCCUCGUCAUAUGUUGCCAGCGGGUAAUGCCGGGCACUCAUAUGAGACUGCCGGGGAAACCCCGGAGGAAGGAGAGGAUGACGUCAAGUCAGCAUGGCCCUUACGCCUGGGGCUGCAAACGCGCUACAAUGCGCGGUACAGCGGGCUGCGAAACCGCAAGGUAGAGCGAAUCCCGAAAAACCGCGCCCAGUUCGGAUCGGGGUCUGCAACUCGACCCCGUGAAGUUGGAGUCGCUAGUAAUGGCAGAUCAGCAUGCUGCCGUGAAUGCGUUCCCGGGCCUUGCACACACCGCCCGU
rnacentral:rRNA from 1 species